UACGUAGGUGGCAAGCGUUGUCCGGAUUUAUUGGGUUUAAAGGGUGCGUAGGCGGUUUUUAAGUCAGUGGUGUAAAUAACGUCAGCUUAACUGGCGAGGUGCCAUUGAUACUGGGGAACUUGAGUACUGAUGAGGUAGGCGGAAUGGACGGUGUAGCGGUGAAAUGCUUAGAUAUCGUCCAGAACACCGAUAGCGAAGGCAGCUUACUAAAGAGUAACUGACGCUGAGGCGCGAAAGCUGGGGAGCGAACGGG
rnacentral:rRNA from 1 species